UGAACGCUGGCGGCGUGCUUACCACAUGCAAGUCGAACGGAAAGGCCCAAGCUUGCUUGGGUACUCGAGUGGCGAACGGGUGAGUAACACGUGGGUGAUCUGCCCUGCACUUCGGGAUAAGCCUGGGAAACUGGGUCUAAUACCGGAUAGGACGAUGGUUUGGAUGCCAUUGUGGAAAGUUUUUUCGGUGUGGGAUGAGCUCGCGGCCUAUCAGCUUGUUGGUGGGGUAAUGGCCUACCAAGGCGUCGACGGGUAGCCGGCCUGAGAGGGUGUACGGCCACAUUGGGACUGAGAUACGGCCCAGACUCCUACGGGAGGCAGCAGUGGGGAAUAUUGCACAAUGGGCGCAAGCCUGAUGCAGCGACGCCGCGUGGGGGAUGACGGCCUUCGGGUUGUAAACUCCUUUCGCUAGGGACGAAGCGUUUUUGUGACGGUACCUGGAGAAGAAGCACCGGCUAACUACGUG
rnacentral:rRNA from 1 species